rnacentral:rRNA from 1 species
ACGUAGGAGGCGAGCGUUAUCCGGAUUCACUGGGCGUAAAGCGCGUGCAGGUGGCUUGGUAAGUUGGGCGUGAAAUCUCCCGGCUCAACUGGGAGAGGUCGUCCAAUACUACCAAGCUUGAGAGCAGAAGAGGAAGAUGGAAUUCCCGGUGUAGUGGUGAAAUGCGUAGAUAUCGGGAGGAACACCAGUGGCGAAGGCGGUCUUCUGGUCUGUUUCUGACACUCAGACGCGACAGCUAGGGUAGUAAACGGGAUUAGAGACCCCGGUAAUCCUAGCCGUAAACGAUGUGAACUUGGCGUUGGUGGGUUAAACUCCAUCAGUGCCGAAGCUAACGCGAUAAGUUCACCGCCUGGGGACUACGGCCGCAAGGUUA